rnacentral:lncRNA from 1 species
UAGAAGGCCAAUGGCCCACAGCGUGCAGGGUGCAGUUUAUUAAGACAUAUUAGUCAUGUCAGUAAGUGUGAACUUUAUCCCAGUUGCCUGUGAGAAGAGACACUGGAAGCUUUCAGCCAUGGAAAUGACACGAUGCAGUUGGCAUUUUGUAAAUAUCACUCUGGUAACAGUUGGAAAAAGAAGCUUAACCCCCGACACGAAGUGACUAGUUAUUGAGCUGUUCCAGUAAUCCAAGUAAGAGAUGAUGGAGUGAUAAGAAAGAAGAAAACAGAAAGGAGGAAAAAACCUUGAGGGAGUGGAAUUGCUAAGUCCCAGUACUGUGGAUAAAGACAUUCUCCAGAGGUAAAUGUUCCUAACCCACCUGAUGGUUCCGAUGGAAACAAACCUACUAGCAGAGGUGCAAUUGUUUCAACCCGAAGGCUCUACCCUGGGUACCAAGCUCCCUUCUAGUUCCUAUCGUUAAAGACCUGAAGAGAAAUCCUGCAGAGGGGUGACGUGUUUUUGCUUGUGCAUGUCUGAGCUCUAGAGUAUAUAGAAAUUUCUAGAACCAUGUUUCCAGUGCAGCUAAGCUGAUGACGUGAGACAAGAAGAGGUGUAGGGAACUACCUGGCCUUUUGUUUCCUGUGGAUCUCUAAGCACCCAGAGGGGCCUGGGAGCUAUCUGAGGGCCUGAAAGACUGAAAGGGCUUCCCUGAGUCUCUUGUUCUUCUUCAGCCCCAACUCCAUUAAAAGUCUAUUGGGAAGAAUCCAGCCUGAGCUGAACAGUAGGAAACACCAGUUCCUUGAGAAAAGGACAGAUGUGAGCUAACAGCCUCUGAGUACCCUUCCCAUGGCACUGGCUACACACUCGGCAUGUCCAGAACCAGGGCUCAGAAGGCAAUUGAGAAGAGCAAAAUCUAUCCAUGACAACCUGAAGGUGGCAAUAUUCACAUUUACUUGAAAACUGCUGGAGAAUGAGCUAC